UCGAAAGACAUUCAUUCAAGAGAUCCUAACGUGAUUAUCGUAAAUAGCUGGAAUUGUAGAUAUUUACAAUGACAUAGAUCAUUUUUCUUCGACGUAAUUACGGCCUAAUGUCGAGACAAGAAUAAUAUGACGCUGAUCUGUGUUUUGACAAGAAUAUGAAUGAUCUUAAGAAAAGGCUUCGCUGAAUCAAUUGGAAGACAGCGUCUUCAAUUGUCCUACUAAAUUCUUUACGGAUGACAUCUGGGUCUGGGGAGAUCAUGCAAAAAAAUAAGACAUCAUUUAUAACUUUCAACCUUCCGCUCACAGGACAAAUUCUCGAAGACGCUACGAAAAGAUGCUGAGCUUGAUCAUAAUUCUUCAGGCUCCCAAUUCAAGAAUACAAUUACUUAGCGUGGGUGCUUCUGCUCAGUCUUCGUUUCCUAUCUCCACAUACGAAUCACUCGCUUGUUACUAAUUCGAAUAAUUUACUGCUGUAAGGAGUCGUACCGCCAACUAAAUCUGAAUAACAAUUUGGCUGCUAGAAGUCAAAAAGUAGGCGCUGCAAUGAUUUAUGUGGUAUGAUCAGAUUGUGUCGCAACAUUCAGCGGGGUUUUGACUCAAUGGGACCGCUGCUAAUAAAGUGUUUAACUAGCGAAUUUUGGAACACACCCGUUGACAAAAGUAUAAGGAGUCUGUUUCCGUGAGUUCCCCUCUUCCUCUCACUGCACUUCAACUAUGCCUUAUAGCAACCAAGAAGCUAGAAAAUGCCAACUAUUAAAAAGAUAACCUCUUUGGAAUCAAAUAAAACGGAGAUUAUCUUGGGAUCUAUUUCACAAAUUUACGGCUAAUUGGAAUGAACAGCGCCAAGUAGCACUGGACAAACUGCAGAGAGUAUUAGAACUUGCUUUAUUCCGUAUACCGUACUUUAUAUGGUCGUCAGUUUUACCACUUCGGUACGCAAAUGAAAAUAAAAAGCUCAUUCACAACUUAGACACAAUUUCGCCGUUUACAAGUAGCUGAAAAGUCCAUCUAUCGAAUUAUGAAUGAUACUAUUUUAAAUAUCGUCGUUACUGCACUCGUUUUCCACGUUCUUUUUAUCCACACAUCCGAUGUUUUAUUUACAGUUGAGCAUCUCAGGGCCAGCGACAAAUAUAAACAUAUUAUACUCAAAAUGAAGCUCGUUGAAAAGAGAAUAUUUCUUAACCUCUUUUACAGUGCUUUCAACACCUUUUCACCUGUGUGCCAUGUCAGAUUAAGGAUGCUCAACUUUUCGAAUUAUUAUUACAAAUUUCAAAGAAAUUACUAGUCCUUUUUGUCCCCUAAUGUAUCCCUCAUUUCAUACCGUCGUUUUGGGGUUCCAACUACGUAUAGCUUUCAAGUGUGGUUUUACGGUAAGAACAACCCCCCAUCGGUUGGUGCGGAAUACUUUCCUAUUCUCAUCGAGAGCCGAGCCAUACACCUAAGGUGGACAGAAAGCUAAAAUUCCAAAACAGAAAAAUCUAACAUCUUUGCUCCCUUACAAGUAGGAACGCUGGCGUAUCAACCCGUCUCCAGAUUUGCCCAGCAUUUCUGUAGAACACCCAAUGCGAAUGAAGACUAAUGAAUAUUGUAAAGACAAAAAAUAGGAAAAGUUUAAUUAGUGAUGGUUCUCACCACCCCAAAACGGUCACUUGCAUGCAUUGAGGACAUGCACCUGCAGUACUUGUUUUUCUCGAAUGUUUUUACCAUCUCUUUUUUCCUUAUCUGAGCUACUGACGCAGACGGACAUUGUUUCAUAUUUCGAAAGCUGUGCGGGAAAACGGACCCUAACACGAAUGUGAAUGCGCUAAUCAGUAUUUCCACCACAUGAAACCUGCUACUUUUUCAGUCCUCUUCGUAUGCAUUUCCCAAAAUUCAUUCGUAGCCUUGUCAACUUAGACUCAGUUCCACGGCGUGCAGGACGGGGUAUUAUGAAUAAAAGGAUCCACGGGUGAGAUUUGUUCUGUGUUUUAGGUAUGGAGUUUUGUACCACAAAACUUUAGGAAUACCGGAUUUUGUGCCUACGCCAGCCCCAGAGUAUGUUCUCACAGCUGUAAUUCCUAGUGAUCUUUUCCUGGCUCCAAUAGGAACGCCGGUAGGCAAAUUAAACUUUCGCGGCAGGAAAAAAAAGGCUUUUUCUUUUUUGCCUUUCAGUUUCUCGGAAUGUGGCAUUACAUAAGCAUAAUCCUUUUUGGGUGUGCCUGGAAAGUUCAAAUUAAGGUUUUUUUCUUCUGUUUUCUUGACAAGAAAAUGUCGCCCAAAGAGUUUCGGCCGUUAUUUUCCUAUCGAAGUGGGUCCUUUUUGUCUUUAGUCCUUCUCUGGGGCUAGCGAUCACUGCAAAAUUAGGCUUCACUGGUACGAGUUAACUUUUUUUCUUUUUUUUUGUCAUCCUUUUCUUUGGGGCUAAGAAUGGACUUCCCUUUUCUUUUUCUUUGUUGCAGCAGUGGCUUCAAAGAACUGCUGAUUGCUCAAGGCAAUCAGUCCGAGCGUUUAGAAGGUGAUUGUAGGCAGAAAUUAACUUUGCGGUAAAAGAAUGACAUUCUUUCUUAAAAGAAAAAUUAGCUUUUUUUUGUCAGGCAUUGCACAAACUUUUUUAUUUCUGCCUAUACUCUUAAACAGAUCAGUCAUUCAUGUUGUCUUUUUAACGGUCGUACUGGGACAUCGCAUGCCUUGGGAUUCCGUAAUUAGGUGCAACAAUACGGGCACAACUCAUUCUGCGCUAUCUUCACGGACUGAACUUCUAUUGCCUAUCGGUGGUGUGAUUAACAAUUGGAAGCGCAGAGCUUGGAAUGGAUUUCCAAUUCAAUGGAUUUGGAGGUAUUCGUUUGUUUACUAAUAUUUACUUUGAGGACAUUGCCCAACCCUAAAAGUGCCUGUUCCAGAAUAGAAUAACAUUAUGAUACGUUUUCUUGACCGCUGAGCAAUUUAAAGCAAUUAUUAGGGUACGAUUGUUUCUAGAGAAAUGUGGGUCAUCUUUUUAGGUCCAUUCUCUUCUGAUGAGGUAACCUUUACAAAAAUGUCAUAGAGUUACCAAUUGGGAUUCAAGGCAUCAUCGCAAUAUACUUCGUUCUCUUACGGAGAAAUUAAGCUCUUUCUACUUUGAAUUAACUGUUAGACUUGUCUUAUCUGAGGAAUGUCCGUGUUCAAAUUAAAUAAAAAUUUAGGGCAGUUUUAUUUACCUUAACAAAUAUGUUCAAGCAUGUACGU
rnacentral:sRNA from 2 species